UCGCCUCUCACCACACUCACGCCCGUGUGCAGACAAAUCCACUUUCGGCUCACUGAUGGCAGACACGGCCACGCACUUAACCGUCUGUCUUGGGCCCCCUUUCUAAACGUACACAGAGAGCUGACUAUUGCAAGACCCCGUGCAGUGCAGCAGAGAUCAACAGUAAGACCCUCUAAGACCGAGGGCCUCAUCUUUUCAAAGAUGGGAUGCCAUGAAAAAUAUGAGAGAGGGAGGAAAUUGUUCUAAAAUAAAAGAGCUAAAAAUAUAA